ACACAACACAUGGGGUGCCUUACUUUCAGGCUGAGAUCACACCCAAUGAACCUGGACCAGGUAAUGCUGGUUAGGAAUGAACUAACAGAAAACA
rnacentral:ncRNA from 1 species